AGAAAACAAGAAACUAAGAGAUAUGUACAACAUGUCAAUAAAAAGCACAAAGAGAGGAGACUAAUUUUUACAUUUUUUUUUUCUUGAAUAUCUGGAAGUUCAAGCCCAAAGGCCCUACAUCUUCCAGAGGCGGGACUCACACCAAGUUAAAUUCAUCUCCUUUCGAGAAGAGAUCCCUCCUAACGUGCCUCGAACUCAACUACUCCAUUUGGAAGAUUUAUCACUCGGCUAACAGCUCGUUGGUAGUUUUUACACUUGU
rnacentral:sRNA from 1 species